UGGGGAAUUUUGCGCAAUGGGCUAACGCCUGACGCAGCAACGCCGCGUGGAGGAUGAAGGUCUUUGGAUUGUAAACUCCUGUCAGCAGGGAAAAAGCGACCUGACCUCAUACGUCAGGGAGUUGAUUGUACCUGCAGAGGAAGCCCCGGCUAACUCUGUGCCAGCAGCCGCGGUAAUACAGAGGGGGCAAGCGUUAUUCGGAAUUAUUGGGCGUAAAGGGCGCGUAGGCGGCCAGUCAAGUGGAAGGUGAAAUCCCUCGGCUUAACCGAGGAACUGCCUUCCAGACUGUUUGGCUUGAGACCAGGAGAGGUGAGUGGAAUUCCCAGUGUAGCGGUGAAAUGCGUAGAUAUUGGGAGGAACACCAGUGGCGAAGGCGGCUCACUGGACUGGUACUGACGCUGAGGCGCGAAAGCGUGGGGAGCAAACGGGAUUAGAUACCCCGGUAGUCCACGCCGUAACGAUGAGUGCUUGGUGUAGCGGGUAUCGA
rnacentral:rRNA from 1 species